rnacentral:lncRNA from 1 species
AGAGAACAAUAUUAAAGUAUGCAUUUUGUAUCCUCCAAAACAUACGUUCUGAGCUUGCUUUGUCAAAAUAUUUUAACGCUCCAAAUUGAUUGUUCAAAUCUACCAAAGGAACAAGUACAUAUUACACUUUACAAUGUUUCUUCCUCUAUUAAAGUAUGCAUUUUGUAUCCUCCAAAACAGGUUUGUCUAACUAAUGUACAUUGUGUAUGCCUUCAAAACUUGAAACAAAAAACUACAGAUGAGCUAUCUCAACUUCCUCAACCUGAAAGAGAAAAACCAUUGAAACAGAGAGCUUGUGUCAGCAUCAUUAAUCAAGUCCCGUCUGUUUACAUCAAGCAUCUUCAACAUCAUCCGAUUCCUAGCUUACAUUACACAAUCAGUUUGUGUACUGCAACAAGGAAAUUCCUGCAAACUGAGUCAAAGCUAAAGUCACAUUUUUUUCAACACAGAAAAGAAUGAAAAUUACAAGUGCAACUGUAUUGACAACAUGCUCUAUAUAUACUCUGCCUCAACCUGUAGUGUAAAACCCAUCUGUUUAAACCCAUCACCAGCAACAAUAUUAAACCCAUCUGUUUCAACUCACAUUAACAAACAAAUAAGUGGUAUAUUACUAUGAAUAAAUGUUUCUUAGUAGCAUUUCAAACUGUCAGGAAGAUUGAACACGAUAUUAAAAACUACCUGACUUGGAACUGAUCCCAUGAUUAGUGCAAUUCUGAAGGACACUCUGUAGAAAAAAAAUUCCAAGGUAAUACAAAGAUAUAGAUAUACAAGACAUGUCAUAGAAAUCUCAGUUCCACCUGUGGGUGAAUCACAUUCAGCAUCUACACUUGGAUCCUGAGUAGAACAAUCUAAUGUAAAACACAUCCACUGUAAGUAGUAAACUAGGAAUAAGCAAUUUAGAAUCGCGAGCCCUUAC